rnacentral:rRNA from 1 species
UACGGAGGGUGCGAGCGUUGUCCGGAAUUAUUGGGCGUAAAGAGCUCGUAGGCGGUGUGUCACGUCGGCCGUGAAAACCUGCAGCUUAACUGUGGGCGUGCGGUCGAUACGGGCAUCACUGGAGUUCGGCAGGGGAGACUGGAAUUCCUGGUGUAGCGGUGAAAUGCGCAGAUAUCAGGAGGAACACCGGUGGCGAAGGCGGGUCUCUGGGCCGAUACUGACGCUGAGGAGCGAAAGCGUGGGGAGCAAACAGG